rnacentral:rRNA from 1 species
GCUUGCUAUUUUUAUGAAGAGCGGCGAACGGGUGAGUAACGCGUGGGAAAUCUGCCGAGUAGCGGGGGACAACGUUUGGAAACGAACGCUAAUACCGCAUAACAAUGAGAAUCGCAUGAUUCUUAUUUAAAAGAAGCAAUUGCUUCACUACUUGAUGAUCCCGCGUUGUAUUAGCUAGUUGGUAGUGUAAAGGACUACCAAGGCGAUGAUACAUAGCCGACCUGAGAGGGUGAUCGGCCACACUGGGACUGAGACACGGCCCAGACUCCUACGGGAGGCAGCAGUAGGGAAUCUUCGGCAAUGGGGGCAACCCUGACCGAGCAACGCCGCGUGAGUGAAGAAGGUUUUCGGAUCGUAAAACUCUGUUGUUAGAGAAGAACGUUAAGUAGAGUGGAAAAUUACUUAAGUGACGGUAUCUAACCAGAAAGGGACGGCUAACUACGUGCCAGCAGCCGCGGUAAUACGUAGGUCCCAAGCGUUGUCCGGAUUUAUUGGGCGUAAAGCGAGCGCAGGUGGUUUCUUAAGUCUGAUGUAAAAGGCAGUGGCUCAACCAUUGUGUGCAUUGGAAACUGGGAGACUUGAGUGCAGGAGAGGAGAGUGGAAUUCCAUGGGU